rnacentral:rRNA from 1 species
GACGAACGCUGGCGGCGUGCCUAACACAUGCAAGUCGAACGGAAGUAAGUGCUUCGGUAUUUACUUUAGUGGCGAACGGGUGAGUAACGCGUGAGGAACCUGCCUUUCAGUGGGGGACAACAGUUGGAAACGACUGCUAAUACCGCAUGACGCUUCUUAGGGGCAUCCCUGAGAAGUCAAAGCUUUAUGUGCUGAAAGAUGAGCUCGCGUCUGAUUAGCUAGUUGGCGGGGUAACGGCCCACCAAGGCGACGAUCAGUAGCCGGACUGAGAGGUUGAACGGCCACAUUGGGACUGAGACACGGCCCAG